rnacentral:lncRNA from 1 species
UCCAAUCGUGUCCCUUUUAGCAGAUCCAUCCCCACCCCUAGCAGAUCCUUUGGUGUCACCCUGUCAAAAUUCAAUUUGUUGGCUUCAUAACUUUACAAGGCAGGAAAUAAAGGCUAUAUAAAUUAAAUGAUAAAUGAUCAGGAGUAAGAGAGUUUUGUUACCUCCAUCUAUGACAAUGUGAUUAUUGCAAGAUUUAGUCCCCAAAAGAAACAAAAAAGCAAUAAUUGUCAGAAAUUUUCAGGAAACACACUUCUCAAGGCAUUGCACAAAAAGCCAACAAAAAGUCAAUGAUGCAUUCGGUUACUAUCAAAUAAAAGCAAGGAAAGUUCAGAGUUCGAAGAGAACAGGAAUCAAUGAAGCUAAAGGAAAGGAGGAGCCAGAAGUGAAAGAAAUCUUACCUCCCUGUACCUCAUAAGGUAUGCCUUAAGAGGAUCAAUAUAAUCUUCAAAACCCAGAGUUGCCAUUGCCCAGAGCAAAUCAUCCCCAUUAAUUGUCUUCCUCUUCUCCUUCUGACACUUAUCACUCGCCCUACAGGACAAAAAUGAAAAACCUAUUUCAAGAAACCGAAUCAGAUCUUCCAAUAAAACAACUGCAAACAAACAAACCACAUUCCACAAAACAAAAGCCAGCUCCUGGAAGCAUCAAACACAAUUCGCAAGACAAAUUUUCACUUUCAACAACACCAUUCACCCAGUCCACAAAAUAAAAUCCCUUUUAUUAAAAUCAACGACAUCUUUAUCCAACCAAACAAAAUCUAACUUCCCAAAACAAUUAUCAAGUUCGACAAAAACAAAAUCCCUCAUUUGAAAAAAAAAAUCCAGUCGAUAAAAUGAAAAAAAACAAAAAAAAACCACUUUCCAAAGCUGACACCUUCCACCAAACUAUAGGACCUUUAUUUUCCAAAACACCAUCACAUUCUCAAAUCAAAAUCGAGCCAGCUACACACUUUCCAAACACACCAAUUCGCUGUUAUAAAAUUGACCAACCAAUUAUCACCAAAAAGAAAACAGUAUUAAUAAUAAAUAAAAGCAAUUAACAGAAAUAGAAUUGAAUUGCAUUACAUACUCGCUGGUAAUGAAGCUGAUGAACUCAGAGACACAUUCCUGUACAGUAUCCUUAGCAUCCUUAGCGAUCUUGCCAUUAGCAGGCAAAGCCUUCUUCAUGAUCCUGCUAAUGUUAGCUAUUGGCAAAUACCUGUCCUGCUCUCUCACUCCCCCAGCGUGCGGGCUCUGCUCUCCCCCGCUCUCGUGGCUACCUCCCGCCGGACUCGUCGGUGCU